UUUAAAUUUAGAGUUUGAUCCUGGCUCAGGACGAACGCUGGCGGCGUGCUUAACACAUGCAAGUCGAGCGAUGAAGCUUCCUUCGGGAAGUGGAUUAGCGGCGGACGGGUGAGUAACACGUGGGUAACCUGCCUCAAAGUGGGGGAUAGCCUUCCGAAAGGAAGAUUAAUACCGCAUAAUAUAAGAGAAUCGCAUGAUUUUCUUAUCAAAGAUUUAUUGCUUUGAGAUGGACCCGCGGCGCAUUAGCUAGUUGGUAAGGUAACGGCUUACCAAGGCAACGAUGCGUAGCCGACCUGAGAGGGUGAUCGGCCACAUUGGAACUGAGACACGGUCCAGACUCCUACGGGAGGCAGCAGUGGGGAAUAUUGCGCAAUGGGGGAAACCCUGACGCAGCAACGCCGCGUGGGUGAUGAAGGUCUUCGGAUUGUAAAGCCCUGUUUUCUAGGACGAUAAUGACGGUACUAGAGGAGGAAGCCACGGCUAACUACGUGCCAGCAGCCGCGGUAAUACGUAGGUGGCGAGCGUUGUCCGGAUUUACUGGGCGUAAAGGGUGCGUAGGCGGAUGUUUAAGUGGGAUGUGAAAUCCCCGGGCUUAACCUGGGGGCUGCAUUCCAAACUGGAUAUCUAGAGUGCAGGAGAGGAAAGCGGAAUUCCUAGUGUAGCGGUGAAAUGCGUAGAGAUUAGGAAGAACACCAGUGGCGAAGGCGGCUUUCUGGACUGUAACUGACGCUGAGGCACGAAAGCGUGGGUAGCAAACAGGAUUAGAUACCCUGGUAGUCCACGCCGUAAACGAUGGAUACUAGGUGUAGGGGGUAUCAACUCCCCCUGUGCCGCAGUUAACACAAUAAGUAUCCCGCCUGGGGAGUACGGUCGCAAGAUUAAAACUCAAAGGAAUUGACGGGGGCCCGCACAAGCAGCGGAGCAUGUGGUUUAAUUCGAAGCAACGCGAAGAACCUUACCUGGACUUGACAUCCCUUGCAUAGCCUAGAGAUAGGUGAAGCCCUUCGGGGCAAGGAGACAGGUGGUGCAUGGUUGUCGUCAGCUCGUGUCGUGAGAUGUUAGGUUAAGUCCUGCAACGAGCGCAACCCUUGUUAUUAGUUGCUACCAUUAAGUUGAGCACUCUAAUGAGACUGCCUGGGUAACCAGGAGGAAGGUGGGGAUGACGUCAAAUCAUCAUGCCCCUUAUGUCCAGGGCUACACACGUGCUACAAUGGUAGGUACAAUAAGACGCAAGACCGUGAGGUGGAGCAAAACUUAUAAAACCUAUCUCAGUUCGGAUUGUAGGCUGCAACUCGCCUACAUGAAGCUGGAGUUGCUAGUAAUCGCGAAUCAGAAUGUCGCGGUGAAUACGUUCCCGGGCCUUGUACACACCGCCCGUCACACCAUGAGAGCUGGUAACACCCGAAGUCCGUGAGGUAACCGUAAGGAGCCAGCGGCCGAAGGUGGGAUUAGUGAUUGGGGUGAAG
rnacentral:rRNA from 1 species